ensembl:lncRNA
CUAAGGCACAGACAGAAGUUCACAAACUGGCCUCAGGACCCAAAGACUAGAAGUGGGAGCGCUGGGCGCUGAGCCCGGGAACCUGGCACCAGAGUCUGUGCUCUUGCCCACUGCAGCGCACACUGCACAAAGCACCUGACACAGGACAACACAGUGCUGCCUCCAGCCUCCCACUUUCCCAUGACACCCUUCCAGAACUAGUUCUUCUGGACAGGAGAGAAGAGGGUGCGGAAUACGUCACCUGCCUGCUGAUGGGCUGAGGUUCAUUCAUCUGUUUUUGGAAGCUUGGUGCGAGAAUCCAUCACCCACGUCUCCCUGGGGCCGAGACGCACCCUGGUGGGAACCGCUCUGCCGGGAGGUCUCAGGGCAGGGACCCUUUUUUCUUCCUCCAAAUGAAAUUUUACUUGGAAGUCUAACAAAUAAAACAGAUGGAAUUGGAGCUGCUCUGAGUGAAGUGGGGAUGAAGGCUGAGAAUUUCUCCUCCUCUAGCAGCUCUAGAAGGCCUAAGAGGACCUCUUGCUUCUCAACACACAAUGUAGAAACCACCAUUCUGGACCAUGCUCUUUCCAUCUCAACAUUAACUUGUUCCUCAAACACUCCCACCUGACUCUUUUUGGGUGGAAAAGUCUAUAAACUUGCUAUUCAAGAUCUCCUAGUUCCUAUUCCAGUUUGGCACACCCAGAACAAACUGAAAUCUGCAGCCUUUAUGGCAGGUGCUCAACACCUGGCUGCUGAAAGAAUGAAUAUGUAACAGGCCCAUGAGAGCUGGAGGCUUCAGAGACCACUCUGCCAGUCUCCGAGUGACGUCAUUGGAGGCACUGACGAGCUAUAUUAAAAAUGAUGAAUGGAAAGCAAAUGGCCCCUCAGAAGGAUAGGUUUGGAUCCUUUGGGUCCUAUCCUCUGGGUAGGUUCUUGACUCAGAGUUGUUCUGGUAACUGCAGAAACCCACGAUCCUCCCUUUACCAUCCCCUUUGCAAGUGCCCUGACCCUGAGACAAGCAAGGAUGGCUGCAGGGAACUCAAGCGGCUUUGGCAAGCUGUGGUGGCAACGCUGGAGGAAGGAGCCUAACCAAAGUGGCAGGAGGAGUCGCAUCAGGGGCUGACAAAGUGCGUGCGUGACUGACGAGGACUGGAUGAGGCUGAUGGGGAAGCACCUGACCAAGAGAAAAAGAAAAACGGCAUCCCACAGUCAGAGACGGGUCAGACUGUCUAAUGAAAUGUACUGGGAAUUUUGGGAGGAGAAGAAGCAAAUAAUAAACAGUACCUAGCUCUACAAAUAAGAGUUGAAACUACCAAGAAGCAGUUUUUACAUAAACUCAGACACAGUACCAGAGGGUCACUGCUUACGGGCAGUCACAUAUAUGUGACAUCUGGUCAGCACUGCUUUAUCUGUCAGAAUCCAGUGCCUAAGGAAAGCCCACCUGCUAGGCUCAAAUCACACUUCACAGCCACCACCACUCACUGGAAUCAUGAUUCACGAAUCUAGGAAGAAACAGUCACUGUAGGCUGACUAUGUAUUUUUAAACAUAUUAAGUGAUCAUAAAUAUCACAGGCAUCAUCUCCUAUUAAAAAAAACUGUGUGUUUAUACAGUGUGUGUGGGGGGGGGGUGUGUGUGUGUGUGCCUCCUCUC